UAAACAAGACCAUGACUAUGAAGAUAUGGAGACUGAGCUGAAGAUGCUACGUGUGACAAAUAAGAAAGCUUUUUAAAACUUGCAAAGAUGAAUUCUCACCUGGAGAAAAGAACAUUCUUUACUGUAACCAUUGUCCUAUUCUUGAUCUUCAGUUGCUAGAGUGCUUCAAAUCCAUAUGUAUAUAUACAUUGAAACAGAAAAUGACAAAUGUUACUCCUCAAUGUCUCAAUUCUCAAUCACAAUUAGAAUCUGCUGAUU